rnacentral:rRNA from 1 species
UACGUAGGGGGGCGAGCGUUGUCCGGAUUCAUUGGGCGUAAAGCGCGGGCAGGCGGCCCGCUCAGUCGGCCGUGAAAGCGCCGGGCUCAACUCGGCGAGGUCGGGCGAUACUGGCGGGCUCGAGGCUGGUAGAGGGCGGUGGAAUUCCGGGUGUAGUGGUGGAAUGCGUAGAGCUCCGGAGGAACACCAGUGGCGAAGGCGGCCGC